rnacentral:rRNA from 1 species
UGCCUCAGUAACGGCGAGUGAAGCGGCAACAGCUCAAAUUUGAAAUCUGGCCUUCCGGUCCGAGUUGUAAUUUGCAGAGGAUGCUUCGGGCGCGGUGCCUUCCAAGUCCCCUGGAACGGGGCGCCGGAGAGGGUGAGAGCCCCGUACGGUUGGCGGCCAAGCCUGUGUGAAGCUCCUUCGACGAGUCGAGUAGUUUGGGAAUGCUGCUCUAAGCGGGAGGUAGACCCCUUCUAAAGCUAAAUACCGGCCAGAGACCGAUAGCGCACAAGUAGAGUGAUCGAAAGAUGAAAAGCACUUUGAAAAGAGGGUUAAACAGCACGUGAAAUUGUUGAAAGGGAAGCGCUUGAGACCAGACGUGCGCCGGGGUGCUCAGCGGGCGUUCUCGCCCGUGCACUCGCCCCGGUGCAGGCCAGCGUCGGUUUGGGCGGGGGGAUAAAGGCGUCUGGAAUGUGGCUCCCCCGGGAGUGUUAUAGCCAGGCGUGCCAUGCCUCCGCCCGGACCGAGGUACGCGUUCUGCAAGGACGCUGGCGUAAUGGUCCCCAGCGACCCGUCUUGAAACACGGACCAAGGAGUCGAGGUUUU